CAGCAGGCAAAAUCUCUCUUACAAAGUUAUUUGUGCAGACAAACUGUUAUGGAUUAUUGCUCUCCCUUUUUGGACACCUCCUUUACUGUGAACAAGCUGAGUGAUGACAAUGAUCAGUAUAAGCACAACAGCAGACCCUUUUCUAAUCUUUUUAUUUCUUGGAUGUGAAGACAUGGAUGGAAAGGAUUUGCAGGAAGGCAUGGGUGGGAUUUGCAAGCUGACAAGACUUUCUGAGGAUCUGCAAUGUAAAAGAGCCAAGGGAGCAAGAAGAUAUUUAGUGGUGGUAGAGAGUUCACUGUUUCACCUGCAUGCUGUGGCACACUGAGGCACAGACUCAGGGGGGUGAAGCUGAGACAAGUUUAUUGGAGUCUCAGCACUGCUUUUAUAACCCAACACCAACAGACAAUCAUACCUGGUAAGGUAAAAGCUGUGACCACAGCGUCUGAUUGGCUGGUAGAUGUCAUGGCAGUUGGAACAGCGGUUGAAAUGGCAGUUUUAGGAGUUGCAGCUCAUCCCUGUAACGAGCCACUCCGUUCUCUGCAAAGGAGUUUCAGGAGGUGUUACUUUGUUCCUGGUGAUGCUCCAUCAGAGCUGCUCUGAGGAGACGCUCUGGCUGACACGCAGCUCGAGCCUUGGCUCUUGACCCAGAAACAUUCCUGCCAAAUGCCUGGCCACUGAGUUCCUGCUCCCCAGUGCCAGCAACUUGCUCUUUGCAAGGUUGCCAUGCAUAAAGAAAAGGACAUGAGAGACUCUAGGACUUCUCUGAAAAGACAGGCAGCUGACCUGAAGCAGUAAAUACGUGUGUGCCCGCAUCAGGUACUCGAGUUACCUCAGUGACUUCUGUUCUCUCCUGUUCCCGCUGUCAACACCAACACAGGGGCGACAGCAGAAAGAUGUCAGAGUUACCCAUCAGUUUGCCUGUAUCUUGCAGCUUGGCAAGAAGAAGUAUCAAUCAAGUGGGUGCCUGAGGAGCUUUCUCAGCUCUGAUAGCUUCCUGUGGGACUGUGCUCAUCUUUCAUCGGAUGUAUGUUUGAUAGUAAGCCAAAAAGGAGAAUUACUUACACUUAGCUACUGGCAGGGAUUUGUUGCACUGUGGCCUAUUUUAAGCAUCUAAAAGCAUGUGUAAGACACUCUAAAAUGGCUUGAUUUUAGGUUUUGUGUGUGUUGUUGCCAGAUAGGACCUGCUCAAUCAUUUGUCUGAACUCUUAGACAGUGGCAAAACUAUACUCAGUGAAAUAGAUUGUACUGUUUGUACUCCUUGUGUGAGUGGUUAAAAUCUGGGCUUCUUAAAGGCAGGACAGCUCUGAGAGGAAAGUCUCCUUGCCCUGCACAGAACUGGCUAUCAGAAGUGAGACUGUUCAGCACAGCUUCUUCUGUGGCCCCUGGGGAAGCGAAGGGGAUGAGUUGGGUGCUGUUCGUACUGCUGAGAUUUGAGGGAGCAGCACAAGGUCCAGGGUGGAGGCAACGUGUGGAGACCCCAGUCUGGAAACACCAAACCUGGAGCUACAAAGGUGGAUCUGAACCCUUCUGCUGGGGCAGACAAUUCUGGCAAUGUCAGGACAUGGCACCAGUCUGAGCCAUGAUGUUUCAUGGGCUGGAAGCUCAACCUCAGAAAAUAGGGAUUAUCAAGUCAGAUACUCUGUUCUCUCUGUAAAUAUUUAUGAGCUCACUGUGUAGAGAAGAGUCAGGUAAUGGUGUUGUUAUUGGCAUGGAGCAUUUGAAGGACCUGGGUGUGAGUGUCAGGCAACACCUAAAGCUCUUGUGAUUUUAGGAUAUUAGCAGAGCCUGGAAAGGAGAAGAUUGUGAUUUUCUUGCUGAUAUGAAGUGUUGAAAGCAAACCACCCUAUAAUGGGAACAUUAACCAUGAAGGUACAGGUAUUGAUUGCCCUUAUGUUGGAGAGUAAGAGUGGUGUUCUUGCCACAGUCCUUCUCUUUCUUUUCCCAUAUCCAUGAAAUAAGGGCAAUCUCUUGCCUGUUCUUCUUCCUAGGGGUAACGGAAGGAUAUUUGUCCUGUACUUUGAGCUGGUGUUUGGACACCGUGUGAUAUGGAUAGGCAUUAACUGGCCAAAUCCCACUAGGCUUAUCUUGUCCUCAAAGAGAUUCCCAAGGCUGAAUCUCCUGGCUAAAAUAAGUAUUGCUCAGAUAUGAAUAGGGCCCCUUCAGUUGGUUGAUGAGGUUGAAGGUUGGCAGCAGUGACUGCAGCUGGCUCAUUCCUUGAGGAGGCAAUGCCAGGCAGGACUUUGUCACUAAGUGACUGAUACUAUCACCUCCACCCUGCUCUCCUCCCUCAAGCUAAAGCUUUCCAUGGAAAAUUUAGCUGGGCUGGCUCUGGCUGAGGCUUCAGGCAUAGAAACAUUCUUGCGCUCCUGCUGCGUUCAGGUCUUUAAUAAAGCACAGCAGUGAGUUUACAGUCUGGCUAGUGUGGCUUUCUAGUGAUUGAUGAAUGUGAAAAGUUGGCUUUUGCCCCCAAAAUAGUGGUUACUAUUUUCUUUACAGUCAUGUCUGGCAUGUUCAGGUUACAGAGAAGGGGUGACUCAGCUCUAUCAACAUCUGAACUGCCUUACAACAUUGUCUGUCCCUUCAUUAGGCACGUAAAGACUCGAGCAGACUCAAGGAGCUCAGUGCCUGCCAUUAGCUGGGUUGAAUCUUGACCAUGGUGAGAGGCAGCUUCUCUCUGACUCAGUGAUAAACCACUCACAAGUUAGGCUGGCACUAAA